rnacentral:ncRNA from 1 species
CUCUGUUUCGACAAAGAUUCAGGGCAAAAGGAG